rnacentral:miRNA from 1 species
UGAGAACUGUUUUCCGCACCUU